GAUGAACGCUGGCGGCGUGCCUAAUACAUGCAAGUCGAGCGGACAGAUGAGGAGCUUGUUCCUCUGACGUUAGCGACGGACGGGUGAGUAACACGUGGAUAACCUACCUAUAUGACUGGGAUAACUACGGGAAACCGGAGCUAAUACCGGAUAAUAUAUUCAACCGCAUGGUUCAAUAGUGAAUGACGGUUUUGCUGUUACUUAUAGAUGGUUCCGCGCCGCAUUAGCUAGUUGGUAAGGUAACGGCUUACCAAGGCAACGAUGCGUAGCCGACCUGAGAGGGUGAUCGGCCACACUGGAACUGAGACACGGUCCAGACUCCUACGGGAGGCAGCAGUAGGGAAUCUUGGGCAAUGGGCGAAAGCCUGACGGAGCAACGCCGCGUGGGUGAUGAAGGUCUUCGGGUCGUAAAGCUCUGUUAUUAGGGAAGAACAACUGUGUAAGUAACUAUGCACGUCUUGACGGUACCUAAUCAAAAAGCCACGGCUAACUACGUG
rnacentral:rRNA from 1 species